CCUACGGGAGGUAGCAGUGAGGAAUAUUGGUCAAUGGGCGAGAGCCUGAACCAGCCCAGUCGCGUGAGGGAGUACUGCCCUAUGGGUUGUAAACCUCUUUUGUCGGGGAGCAAAAGCCGGACGUGUCCGGCUGUGAGAGUACCCGAAGAAAAAGCAUCGGCUAACUCCGUGCCAGCAGCCGCGGUAAUACGUAGGAUGCGACCGUUAUCAGGAUUUAUUGGGUUAAACGAGUGCGCAGUCGGCUUUUUACGUAAGCGGUAAAAUCGUGGGGCUCAAACCCAUCCAGCCGUUGAAACUGGGGAUCUAGAGUGUGCGAAAGGCAGGCGGAAUGCGUGGUGUAGCGGUGAAAUGCAUAGAGAGCACGCAGAACCCCGAUUGCGAAGGCAGCAUACCGGUGCACAACUGACGCUCAGGCACGAAAGCGUGGGUAUCGAACAGGAUUAGAUACCCGGGUAGUC
rnacentral:rRNA from 1 species